CGCCACAUGACAGACACCGUCGCCGGCCGAACAGUGUUGUUAUUGUUUGUUUUUUAUUUUUUUUAUUAUUUUUUUUUUUUUUUGCGGUGACCACGGACGACCGAAAAGGAACGUGGACGCGCGUAAACGGCGGUAAAUGCGCUCCGGACAACGGCCGCAGUAAGCCGUCAACAGCGACGGAAAGACAUCGCGGGUACUACGGUUCACGUGACACGCGGGGGACACUGGCGCACACGUGUGUACAUUACGUCGUUAUACGAGACCUGUGCGGCGUGUAUCGUUGAAAAUUAUCGUAAGAAAAUAUUAAAAAACGAUAGCCGGGAAAACGAUCGCGGAACUCGAAAUCGGUUUCCAGCCGCGAAAAACGCGAUUUUUCGCGAUGCUGAUAACACCGCGAUUUUCGCGCGCGCGGAAGUCAGCUGUGUGUAUCGGUGCCGUGUGCGUGUGCCGUGGCGCGCGAGACCAGAACGUACGUGCACGAGAGCCGCCUGUCCGCGACCGUUACGCUGUU